rnacentral:rRNA from 1 species
GACGAACGCUGGCGGCGUGCCUAAUACAUGCAAGUAGAACGCUGAAGGAGGAGCUUGCUUCUCUGGAUGAGUUGCGAACGGGUGAGUAACGCGUAGGUAACCUGCCUGGUAGCGGGGGAUAACUAUUGGAAACGAUAGCUAAUACCGCAUAACAGUAGAUAUCGCAUGAUAUCUACUUGAAAGGUGCAAUUGCAUCACUACCAGAUGGCCCUGCGUUGUAUUAGCUAGUUGGUGAGGUAACGGCUCACCAAGGCGACGAUACAUAGCCGACCUGAGAGGGUGAUCGGCCACACUGGGACUGAGACACGGCCCAGACUCCUACGGGAGGCAGCAGUAGGGAAUCUUCGGCAAUGGACGGAAGUCUGACCGAGCAACGCCGCGUGAGUGAAGAAGGUUUUCGGAUCGUAAAGCUCUGUUGUAAGAGAAGAACGAGUGUGAGAGUGGAAAGUUCACACUGUGACGGUAUCUUACCAGAAAGGGACGGCUAACUACGUG